rnacentral:rRNA from 1 species
AGGACGAACGCUGGCGGCGCGCUUAACACAUGCAAGUCGAGCGAGAACCAGGGCUUCGGCUCUGGGGACAGCGGCGAACGGGUGAGUAACACGUGGGUAAUCAACCCUCGACAUCGGGAUAGCCCGGGGAAACCCGGAUUAAUACCGAAUGCUCCGUCUGGCCUUCGGGCCGGCCGGAAAAGGUAGCUUCGGCCUCCGGUCGGGGACGAGCCCGCGGCGGAUUAGCUUGUUGGUGGGGUAAAGGCCCACCAAGGCGACGAUCCGUAGCUGGUCUGAGAGGACGAUCAGCCACACUGGGACUGAGACACGGCCCAGACUCCUACGGGAGGCAGCAGUGGGGAAUCUUGCGCAAUGGGCGAAAGCCUGACGCAGCGACGCCGCGUGAGGGAAGAAGGCCUUCGGGUUGUAAACCUCUUUCAGGAGGGACGAAGCCACUCGGGUUAAUAGCCCAGAGGGUGACGGUACCUCCGAGAAGAAGCCCCGGCUAACUACGUGCCAGCAGCCGCGGUAA